UGAGUUGUAGCUCAAACGGUAGAGCGCUUGCUUUACAUGCGAGAGGUACGGGGUUCAAUUCCCUUCAUCUCUA
rnacentral:tRNA from 1 species